rnacentral:siRNA from 1 species
CCCUUCUCCAAUCGGGUGUGGG